rnacentral:rRNA from 1 species
UACGAAGGGGGCUAGCGUUGCUCGGAAUCACUGGGCGUAAAGCGCACGUAGGCGGAUCUUUAAGUCAGGGGUGAGAUCCUGGAGCUCAACUCCAGAACUGCCUUUGAUACUGGGGAUCUCGAGUCCGGAAGAGGUGAGUGGAACUCCGAGUGUAGAGGUGAAAUUCGUAGAUAUUCGGAAGAACACCAGUGGCGAAGGCGGCUCACUGGUCCGGUACUGACGCUGAGGUGCGAAAGCGUGGGGAGCAAACAGG